rnacentral:tRNA from 1 species
GGAGAGUUGCCCGAGUGGUUUAAGGGGACGGUUUGCUAAACCGUUGAGCCGAAAGGCUCGCGCAGGUUCGAAUCCUGUACUCUCCG